UACGGGGGGGGCAAGCGUUGUUCGGAAUUACUGGGCGUAAAGGGCUCGUAGGUGGCCAACUAAGUCGGACGUGAAAUCCCUCGGCUUAACCGGGGAACUGCGUCCGAUACUGGUUGGCUUGAGUUUGGGAGAGGGACGCGGAAUUCCAGGUGUAGCGGUGAAAUGCGUAGAUAUCUGGAGGAACACCGGUGGCGAAGGCGGCAUCCUGGACCGGUAUUGACGCUGAGGAGCGAAAGCCAGGGGAGCAAACGGG
rnacentral:rRNA from 1 species